GUGAGGAAUAUUGGUCAAUGGGCGGGAGCCUGAACCAGCCAAGUCGCGUGAAGGAAGAAGGAUCUAUGGUUCGUAAACUUCUUUUGCAGGGGAAUAAAGUGCAGGACGUGUCCUGUUUUGUAUGUACCCUGAGAAUAAGGAUCGGCUAACUCCGUGCCAGCAGCCGCGGUAAUACGGAGGAUCCGAGCGUUAUCCGGAUUUAUUGGAUUUAAAGGGUGCGUAGGUGGUUUGAUAAGUCAGCGGUGAAAGUUUGCAGCUUAACUGUAAAAAUGCCGUUGAAACUGUCGGACUUGAGUGUAAAUGAGGUAGGCGGAAUGCGUGGUGUAGCGGUGAAAUGCAUAGAUAUCACGCAGAACUCCGAUUGCGAAGGCAGCUUACUAAGCUACAACUGACACUGAAGCACGAAAGCGUGGGAAUCAAACAGGAUUAGAAACCCGGGUAGUCC
rnacentral:rRNA from 1 species